AUUGAACGCUGGCGGCAUGCUUUACACAUGCAAGUCGAACGGCAGCGCGGGCUUCGGCCUGGCGGCGAGUGGCGAACGGGUGAGUAAUGCAUCGGAACGUGCCCAGUAGUGGGGGAUAGCCCGGCGAAAGCCGGAUUAAUACCGCAUACGACCUGAGGGUGAAAGCGGGGGACCGAAAGGCCUCGCGCCAUUGGAGCGGCCGAUGUCGGAUUAGCUAGUUGGGGGGGUAAAGGCUUACCAAGGCGACGAUCCGUAGCUGGUCUGAGAGGACGACCAGCCACACUGGGACUGAGACACGGCCCAGACUCCUACGGGAGGCAGCAGUGGGGAAUUUUGGACAAUGGGGGCAACCCUGAUCCAGCCAUGCCGCGUGCGGGAAGAAGGCCUUCGGGUUGUAAACCGCUUUUGUUCGGGAAGAAAUCCUCUGGGCUAAUACCCCGGGGGGAUGACGGUACCGGAAGAAUAAGCACCGGCUAACUACGUG
rnacentral:rRNA from 1 species